UUUGUUUUUAACUUUUAUUAGUGUUACUUUAAAUAUUGGUCAGAAACAACAUUUAAUUAUGUCAUAUAUUUUAGUAAUUGAAUUAGAAUCGACUGGUGAGACAACAUGCAACAUUAAGGGGUUACCUGGACCUGUAGUCAGUAAUUUGGAGAAUUAUUUCAAAGCACACAAUAUAAAUUGUAAAAAUGAAAGGAUAUGUUUUGAAGUGGAUACAGAAGGAAUUUAUGUACUUAACGUACUUGGAAGUUCUGGCUUUGGUUACAGAGUUGCGACCCAAUCUAUGGCAAUUGAUACGACGACUAUUGGAGGGAGAUCAGUUAAAAUUCAAAAAAACAUCUGGACAUUAUCGAAAAUUGAUUAAAGGACUUAACAUUUGAACAAAAUAAAAUAUUAACAAUUUAA